UCCAUCUGUAGAGAAAAGUUUAUAUUAAUGAAAUAAACAGCCAGGUUUUCUCUGAGCCUCUUCCACUUAUCUUAGCAGAUCCAGGAGAGCUGAACUAAACAUAGGUUUUCAUCUAUUCUUUCUGAGAGCUGUUACUUGUGAGUUUUCAACUGUAUAAUAAAGCCCUUAUGCCUUUCUCUCUUUCUGUCUCUCCCAUAACCUGUCUUAGCCAUGCAACAAGCCCUUAUUCUUCCUGCAACCUCAAGAUGUAAUAAAAGCAUCAACUGGUCUCUCUUCCAAGAUGGCCGAAUAGGAACAGCUCUGGUCUGCAGCUCCCAGUGAGACUGACACAAAAGAUGGUUGACUUUCAUUGAAUGUUCAGAGGACAAAAGGACAGAUUUCACUUGGCCCCUACAGUUUUGGCACUAUGAGCAGGGCAACUGAAACUGCUCUGUUCUUCUGGAAGCCACAGUCCAGGGAAGCCAGUAUCUGACACGCCAGCAGAAGGAAAUACCUCUUAUUGAAGAUCUGUUUGUCUGCAUUAUAAAUAGAGGCCUCCCUGUGAGAGUUCAUCUGCAAUAUCACCUUCUGAAAUGAGACACAGCUAUUUAACAGAACUGACCUAUUCGCAGGACUAAGACUGAUUCGAGAAGAUAUGGGCUGCUUGUUCCAAUCUGUGUUGUCCUUCCCAGAUUGCCAAUCUCACAUUUCUUAUCUGAAUCUCUCUAAAACUACUCACUUGGGCUUUAAUAUGUGAAACUUUCUAAAAAUAAAGUUUUAAA